AUUGAACGCUGGCGGCAGGCCUAACACAUGCAAGUCGAACGCGUGGCGGACGGGUGAGAAAUGUCUGGGAAACUGCCUGAUGGAGGGGGAAAACCACUGGACACGGUAGAUAAUACCGCAUAACCUCAGAUGUGCCCAGAUGGGAUUAGCUAGUUGGUGGGGUAACGGCUCACAAAGGCGACGAUCACUAGCUGGUCUGAGAGGAUGACCAGCCACACUGGAACUGGGACACGGUCAAAACUCAUACGGGAGGCAGCAGUGGGGAAUAUUGCACAAUGGGCGCAAUCCUGAUGCAGCCAUGCCGCGUGUAUGAAGAAGGCCUUCGGGUGGUAAAGUACUUUCAGCGGGGAGGCGUUACCCGCAGAAGAAGCACCGGCUAACUCCGUGCCAGCCGCCGCGGUAAUAC
rnacentral:rRNA from 1 species